GGUGAACGCUGGCGGCGUGCCUAAUACAUGCAAGUCGAGCGAACGGACGAGAAGCUUGCUUCUCUGAUGUUAGCGGCGGACGGGUGAGUAACACGUGGAUAACCUACCUAUAAGACUGGGAUAACUUCGGGAAACCGGAGCUAAUACCGGAUAAUAUUUUGAACCGCAUGGUUCAAAAGUGAAAGACGGUCUUGCUGUCACUUAUAGAUGGAUCCGCGCUGCAUUAGCUAGUUGGUAAGGUAACGGCUUACCAAGGCAACGAUGCAUAGCCGACCUGAGAGGGUGAUCGGCCACACUGGAACUGGGACACGGUCCCGACUCCUACGGGAGGCAGCAGUAGGGAAUCUUCCGCAAUGGGCGAAAGCCUGACGGAGCAACGCCGCGUGAGUGAUGAAGGUCUUCGGAUCGUAAAACUCUGUUAUUAGGGAAGAACAUAUGUGUAAGUAACUGUGCACAUCUUGACGGUACCUAAUCAGAAAGCCACGGCUAACUCCGUG
rnacentral:rRNA from 1 species